rnacentral:rRNA from 1 species
UACGGAGGGAGCUAGCGUUGUUCGGAAUCACUGGGCGUAAAGCGCACGUAGGCGGCUAUUCAAGUCGGGGGUGAAAGCCCGGGGCUCAACCCCGGAACUGCCCUCGAAACUAGAUGGCUAGAAUCUUGGAGAGGCGAGUGGAAUUCCGAGUGUAGAGGUGAAAUUCGUAGAUAUUCGGAAGAACACCAGUGGCGAAGGCGACUCGCUGGACAAGUAUUGACGCUGAGGUGCGAAAGCGUGGGGAGCAAACAGG